AUGUCGUCUUGUUCUUGUAAUAUUCUCCGUCAUAGUAAAAUUGUGCCUUCACGCAUAUGUGGUUUUUCUCCGCAUGGGUUUUCCACGUAUGGGUCCCAUUCUUGUUUUGUGUGCCACAGUUUAAACUCACAAGAAUUCUAUGGUGAGAAAUCGGGUCAAUGCAUUAGGGCAACUCCAACAUACACCGACCCAAACGGACAUGGAUUUUGUACGUUCUUUGUCUAUUCAGCAGACCUACCACAGUUCAGCAGAGCAGUAAGGCUCAGAUGGCUCUGCCACUUCUGGAAAAACCCAGAGAGACCAUGGGUGGGCACACAGUUGCCGAGCGAUGUCGGCGACAGAGCCCUCUUCAGUGCAUCCACCACGGUGAACUUGGGCGACGGCGCAACGGCCACCUUCUGGAACUGCUACUGGACUGGCUCCGGCACUUUGAAAAUGGACUACCCUGGGGUAUUCAAGCAUUCCAGAAGAAAGAACAGGACAGUAAAGGCAGCACUGACAAAUCACACUUGUCGCGAAUCUCGCCCAUGGCAAGGAGAUCAGACAGCAGCGAUGGCUGCUCUCAAGAAAUCUGCAACUCAACGAGCAGCGCUGGGACACAAUCAAAUGCAACCAUGA
rnacentral:rRNA from 1 species